CCAAGUCCCUCCCCAGAUGGAUUGAAUCAGAGCUACUUAGGGUGGAGCCAAAAGGCUUGUUUUUUAAAGCUUCCCAGGUAAUUCUAAUAUGUGUGUAGUCAGGUAUGAGAACGAUUGCAAGCAAAAGCAGCUGAGGGACGCUGUCCAAGGAGUAGGCUCAGUAGUACGAACUGCAAAUACUUGAGAAGAGAAAAGUUCAGCCUUGUGCUGGAAAGUGGUUUAGCAUGCUGGAGCUGGUUUUCCGCUUGGUAGCCCUACAACUUUGGCCCAACUACUUGGCCUCUGGGACUCAGAUUCCUCGUCUUUAAAAUGGUGCUAAUAAUAGCACUCACCCUCUGUGAGGAGGAUGCUGUGAGGACAAAAUGAGAUCAGCCACAUAAGCCGUGAACCCUGUUCCUGGUAAGAGCUUCUAAAAUAUAUAUUUCAGAAAUAAGGAAAAUGUUUCAGAAAAACUGAGUUCAAGAAGAAAGGGUGAGCGAAAAUAAAGUGGUAAAUAGCUCCGCCCCUAUGGAUUUGCAAGUCCUGGAAAGAAGUCUAUGGACUAUACUCAACCUACACUCCAGUUAAAGGAACAUCUACACACAGAGAAAUGAAUAACAUGAAGUGAAGUCUUCAUCUCCAUUCCCAACAGUCCCCAUUCUACUUCCAGAAAGUUGCUCACACGGAAAAUCAGUUUAUUUUCCCCUGGUGCAAAGAACAGUAGUUUCUCCAAAACUGAAGCUGGAAAUUAUCUGAAAUAUCAGGUCCGCCGGAAAAGGGACGUGAAGCCCCCUUUGUAAUUUCUGCAUUAGCGUGCUCUCCUGGCAAGCAGGAAACUUCAUCAGAGAAGUCAGCCAAGGAACGUCUUUAAAUGGAAAUUGUGCAAACGAGGAGCAAAUGCAUUAAAAAGUUGCUGACGGGCAUGAAAUGCUUUGAUGUGAAGACGGAAAACUCCAAGCAGGAAGGAUUUUAACAUUUUGAAUCUGAUUGACCCUGUAGUUUCUCAGCACAGUUAUUCCAUGGGCUAAAAUAAAUGCAGAAAUGGUACUUUCAGACCACAGCUGCAGAGGGGAUCGUGGUGAAUUUCAAUGAAAAUCCAUUUGAAUCUUGAGGUUCAGAUCUUAAAAAAGCAAAGGACAUGAGAGAAGUAAUAUUGUUGCUUGAA
rnacentral:lncRNA from 1 species